GGGUGCCUUCGGGAGCCGUAAGACAGGUGCUGCAUGGCUGUCGUCAGCUCGUGUCGUGAGAUGUUGGUUAAGUCCCGCAACGAGCGCAACCCCUAUCCUCAGUUGCCAUCAUUAAGUUGGGCACUCUGUGGAGACUGCCGGUGUCAAACCGGAGGAAGGUGGGGAUGACGUCAAGUCCUCAUGGCCCUUAUGACCAGGGCUACACACGUGCUACAAUGGCCGGUACAAAGAGUUGCGAUACCGCGAGGUGGAGCUAAUCUCAUAAAGCCGGUCUCAGUUCGGAUUGGAGUCUGCAACUCGACUCCAUGAAGUUGGAAUCGCUAGUAAUCGCGGAUCAGCACGCCGCGGUGAAUACGUUCCCGGGCCUU
rnacentral:rRNA from 1 species